CUCCUAGGCCUAACAUCAAUUCUUUAAAAACUUCCAGCCCGUUUUCCCCUUUAACCCGACCCCAACCCCAUAUUCUACCCAGGGAUAGUACCUAAUGUGUGAACGAUAGUAACACUUGACAAUUGCAAGAGAAAAUAUGACCUGAUGCUCCUCUUCUUUAUCUCGCAUUCUAAAUCAGAGUGAUGUAGUGCUAGUUUCGUUGUCCCAGGCACGCGCGUUGAGAAGAUGUGUCAAACAGUGAGUUGCAGGGACGCAAGGGAGUACCCUACAUUUUUUUUCUGUUCUUCUCUCCGUCGCUAUCAAAUCGUACGAUCGACAUCUUUAGGAGGUACGCGUUUUGUCCUUGAUCAUGGAAGAUUGCUACACAUCAUUCUUCAAGGACCGUUGGUCGAUCUGAGCCCUCCACCCCAAAUUCUAUCCGUUCGGAGUAGUGGGAUUGGUUGGGGAAUAUUCGGGACUUUAGAGAGACGUUAGGUUUGGACUCCAAUUUUGUGGGCCUUGGAAAAUUCAAAUUCUUCAGCCCACAUUUUCCUUGCCAACCCUAAAUUAUCAAGUAUGUAUAAUCAUUUUCGGUUCAGGGUUGAGGGGAUUUUUUUUAUGGUGGUGGAAAAUUGAGAAAGAAAGGAGAAAUCUGAAAAUCAUGUGACAAAUUCAUAUCAAAAUACUUCCGGAAAAGGAGAGGCAAUUGUGUUAGCGUUCAAAUGCGAUAUUCUGCUUAAAGUUUUGAACCUGUAGUUCAAAUUUGAGUCUUAGUGUCGGAGUUCGCUGCUUGUUUUCCUUGAUCGAGUUCUCAGUUCUGCUGCCCAAAAGAAGGUGAGGUCUUGAACACCAAUCACAUCCCUCUUGCAUUUUAAGAAAGUCAUAGAGGCUCAAUUUCAUUCAUCGAGUAAAGCCUUGAAACUGACGAAUAGAUUCCGAAGUUUAAAAGACUGAAGAAGAAGUUUGGCUUAGGAGAUCUUCUAUUUUCAUUUUGCAGUUUUAUUUGUAAUGGGCCUAAGCCGUUAUCGUCUUUUACUUUUUCGUACUCACUUUGUAUUUUUAUAUGCUUAGUUUAGGACAGGCACGAAACAAAGAAAAUGGGUCAAAACCCCAAAAUAGGUGGGUCCAAAUUUCGGUUAAGGCGAACAGAACCCGGCUUGGACCCAAAUCUCUUUUUCUCUCUAGCUCUUUUUUUCCCUCUUUUA